rnacentral:rRNA from 1 species
GACGAACCGUGCAAACGUUAUUCGGAAUCACUGGGCAUAAAGGGCGCGUAGGCGGCUUUCUAAGUCAGGGGUGAAAUCCGGCAGCUCAACUGUCGCAGUGCCUUUGAUACUGGAGAGCUCGAGGGAGGUAGGGGCGUGCGGAACUUCCGGUGGAGCGGUGAAAUGCGUAGAUAUCGGAAGGAACACCGGUGGCGAAAGCGGCGCGCUGGACCUCUUCUGACGCUGAGGCGCGAAAGCUAGGGGAGCAAACGGG